ensembl:lncRNA
GCUGUACAUGGGAGCCCUGGGCCUCAAGCAUCAUCACAAGCCUCUUGGGAGUGUGUUGCCUGCUGCUGAGGAAAAAGAGUCGCUCAAGGCAAGAAGACCCAGAGCCAGCAAGACUGAAACAAAAAGCAAAGGAGUAGUGGCAGCUGUGACUGACUAAUUGAGUUGCAUCGAACUCUGUUUUGGACCUGGCAGCAUCUAGCGGCGUGAUCCAGAGCCUGGUGGAGAGCUGGGAAGCUUGCAGCUCCUCUAAUUCUUACUGCUAUAAACCAAAGUUGGUUUUAUAGCUCAGUUUGAGAAUCGAUUCUCCAAAGAGCAAAGAAAAGGAAGAACGGGCUUUUCUGCUGGGGCCGCCCCCUUUGAGAAGCUGCUGCUCGUCAGCUGGGUCCCUGCUGCCCUGCAGGAAGCCAGGUGGCUGUGGCCUUGGCGUCCCUGGGCCCUGGUCGCCGCCGCCGCCAGCUCUGUCCGCACUGCUCCUCCUGCAAGCGGCAGGCCCGGGAAGGAAGAGUUAACCAGAAAUGGAGCGGCGCUGCUCCGGGGCAGGCAGCCUCGCCGCAGAACAGAGCAGCGUUCGUGCAAAGAAGGCAACUCUGCGGUGCAGUGAGGCUGGCUCACUGAAGUGUGCCCGGACUCGUUCUGGGGCAGAUCUUUGCCACCCCCGGACCUCGGCGGCAUCCGCCACGAAAGAAGAUGACCUAUUUCUCUCUUGGAAGAGCCCUGGCCCUGCAUGAUCCCUGUGCCAUCGAGCAGACAGCAUCUCCCUGAGGUGAUUGGAUCAACUGCUUCGUGUCAGUGUCACCCAUGCUUGCUUCGGAGUUUCAAGGCCUUGAUCCUGGGAAAGGGAGUCGAGAAGGUAAUGAGGAGUCAAACCGCUCAUACCUGGACUCUGGGCCCAUCCCAUGCUACCUUGUGCAUCUCCUUUGCCAAGAUGCCCCUCUGCUGCCUGCCCAGGACACAAGUGGGUUACAGACUGACUUCAAGGUGGGUCCAGGUCAGGCCUCAGGCUCCAACCCUUCCCUGCCACAUCCACAGGGCUGAGGCUCUGGGCCUGGGACUCAGGACCUACAGUUUCCUUUUUGACUCUGUCCCGGGGAUGCACAUGUGGAUUAAAUUAGAGCAAUAUGUUUUUCUAA